GUCUACGGCCAUACCACCCUGAACGCGCCCGAUCUCGUCUGAUCUCGGAAGCUAAGCAGGGUCGGGCCUGGUUAGUACUUGGAUGGGAGACCGCCUGGGAAUACUGGGUGCUGUAGGCU
ensembl:rRNA 5S_rRNA 5S ribosomal RNA